rnacentral:tRNA from 1 species
GCCUCGUUAGCGCAGUAGGCAGCGCGUCAGUCUCAUAAUCUGAUUUCGAAAUCUGAAGGUCUUGAGUUCUAUCAUCACACCGGGCA